CGCGUAUACAAUCUACCUUAUACUGGGGAAUAGGCCAAAGAAAUUUGGAUUAAUGCCCCAUAGUUAUUUUUCUAACACAUGUUAGAAUUCUUAAAGCUCCGGCGGUAUAAGAUGAAUAUGCGUGAUAUUAGCUAGUUGGUGAGGUAACUGCUCACCAAGGCAACGAUAGGGUAGGGGGCCUGAGAGGGUGACUCCCCCACACUGGUACUGAGACACGGACCAGACUCCUACGGGAGGCAGCAGUGAGGAAUAUUGGGCAAUGGAGGCAACUCUGACCCAGCCAUGCCGCGUGCAGGAAGA
rnacentral:rRNA from 1 species